AAGCCUGAAACUCUGGACUGCAGGGUGAGAUUAAAGCAACAUCUUCCAGUCCUUACAAAUGAGCCUGCUCAGGUCCAUUGAGAAGAGGGGCUGUGUCUUAGGGGAUGUGCUUAGGUUCAGCUGAUCUACUCUGUGAAUAGCUGUGUUGUAAAAGACCCCAUUUUCUGUGUUGUGGAGAAUUAACAGAUCACAAAGCCAGAGUAUAUUUCCACCCCAUACAUCUCUGAUUUGCAUAUGUGUUUAUGUAAAUUAAAUACAGUAGAAGGUAGCUGGAAAUGUGACAUCCAAGGUCAGGAGAAAGAGUGUAUGUAUCUAACUCUGGGAGAGAGAGAAACCAAUGCUCCUUUCCUGUUUUGGUUCUAUCUGGGCUCCAGCCAACCCAACCGUGCUCAUCCACAGUAAGUGCAGAUCUUCUUCACCUAGGCACUCACAUCCGCACAUCCAUCUCCGGAAAUGCCUCACAGACCACACUCCAGAAACAACGCUUUACCAGCUUCCUCCAGAACUUUGGCAUGGAAGCCAGGAAUCACCUGGUGAAGAGAUCAUCAGCCUUCACACCUUCCAUGUUCUGGCUUGGAGGGAGAUGGAGCCGCUAUUCCAAAAGUGUGGUGCUGGAGUGUAUGAGCAAAAGGAGCAUGCCGUGCUGAGAUAGAGGAUUUCUAUUUGGCUUUGGAAAAGGGCCAUCUACCACUUGCAAAACAUAAGUUUGAAAAUAUGGCCCAGAGAACUAGACCCUGCAAAGGCAUCUCUCAAAAUACAUUAUAUACAGCCGAGCCUUCGGCAAGGGUAUCAGUUUGCCAGAUGACAUACGGAAUAACAUGCACUGGACAUCUUAACAGAGAAAGUUACUGUCUCAGCUCCGAAGCUGCAAGUCUGAAUCUCAGGUGUCAGCAGGAUUGGGUUCUCAGAGCCUCUCCCCUGGGGCUGGAGGUGGUUGUCUGUACCCUAUGUCUUCACAAGGUCUCCCCUCAGUGUGUAUUUGUGUUCAGUUUUCCACUUCUUAGGAGGACACCAGUCAUCUUGGAUUAGAGCCCACCUUAAAGACGUCAUUUUAACUCACAGACCUCUUUAAAAACCUUAUCUCUUUAUGCAGUCGUAUUUUGAGUUACUGAGGAUUAGGACUUCAUAUGAAUUUGAGGGAACACAAUUCACCCUACAAUAAAUAUUGAGCAGUCUCCACCUGGUGCUUAAACCCUCCAGCCACUAUCUACAAAAAAGGAUAUUCUCUGUGACCAGUUAAGAGAAACAUGUCCUACCAGACCAUCAACUAAACCGGAUAGAGAACAAAUAACCCAUUAUAAAAAGGGAAGAACCUAGAUGGGCACGGUGGUGCACGCUUUAAUACUAGCACUUGGGAGUCUGAUGCAGGAGAAAAACUGUGAAUCCGAGGCCAGCUUGGACUACACAAUGAGUUCAAGCCCAGCCCUAACUACAUAAUGAGACCCUGUCUCAAAAAAGAAACACCCCAAAAGAAGGAAAACCCUAAUAAAGGCAAGAGCCUGUAUACAAAGCUAUAUAGACCCCAUGCCAAUGAAAAUGAGGGAGAACCCUAGGCAGUACAAGAUACCUGCACUAUCCCAGUUCUUCUUCAAUGAGUAUAUAUUUCUGUACAUGCCAAAAACUGACAAUAAAAAUAAAUCUUCCUAACAUUGCA